UCCAGUAAAUUUUAUUUAUAUAUAACAACAGUACAAAUUGUGUCCUUGGCUUGCAAAAUAGGAGUGUUUCAUAUUUACAAUAGGUACAUGAUAAUAUAUUAGAAUAACAAAAAAACCCCGCUUUAUUGGAACAUUUUAAAUACUUAAUUUUCUUAUUAUUUCACAACACCUGUAAAAACAACAAAACCAGACAACCAGCUUGUAUUUCCUUAAAAAUAGAUAUAAUACAGAUUCCAGUGUGUCGAGGGGGAGGGGUUUGCGUAGGAGGAGUUGGGGGAGAGGCAGGUGGGCUCAGACCCCUUGUCUCAUGGUAUUAUGAACUUGUUCCUUCUCCUCAUAACUCAGGAAUGUCUUUCCUGUUGGGUGGGGCCCUGCUUCAUUGGACUUUGCUACCCACAUGGAGACAAAUAAAGUCAAAGGGAACUUGGAGUUUGGAACUCUGAACUGCAUACUCUUCCCACCCUGCUUAGGCUGGGGCUGGAGGCAGCUGCACCGCAGCAGGGACCAGGCAGCUUCAUGUGGGAGAGAGCGGCUGCAGAGCGUCCAUACAAGGGGGAGGAACAUCCACUUUGCCUCUUGGGCCCUGUCUGAGAAGCACUGGUUUUGAUUGUCUCUUGGGGCAUUUCCCCGACUAAUUAACAAGUACCAAAGGUGACACUUUACCCUUCAUUCGUGGACAUCGCUGAGGGCCAGAUGGUACCACUUCACUCGGAGGGAAGCCCGGAGCAGGGAUGGAGACAGGGAAAAGAGAUGUGGGGUUAUGCUUCUCCAAGCACAUUCCUGAGACAAGGCAUCUGAUGGCUCUGACUUCCGUCCCCGUGUCCCCCGCCACUGUGGGACCUUCCCCCACGCGCCAUGUGCAUGAGGCCCCUUUGCAUUGUUUUCACCCUCACAGCCCGCUCCAUCUGACUUCUUCCCAAUCUGUGUCCAGGUCCCGGGCGUCUCUGCAUGACAUGGUGUGACUGGGCAAAAGGGCCUCCUCCCACCACCUCCUGGUAGCUGCUGGCUCAGUAUUUUUUAAAAGCAGGUUGAAGAGGGCAGAUGUGGCAAAUGCAUGCAGCUGGAGACCCAUCAGGCAGGGGCUUUCCAAUCUUCUUUAUUUGAUCCGUCUUGACUUUUUAAGUCUUUGCGUACCACUCUUGCCUCUGCUUCAUGCUCAGCAGGUCCGGGGGUCUUGAUGACUACUUGUCCGCAUUGGGUAGAACUGAGGGAAGGAAGCAGGGGAGGGACCACCAGAAGAGCCUGCAGUGACAGAAACAGGAGCAGCUCUCAAUGCUGGGGGGAGCUGUCCCCAGGACAAGGUAAGGCAGCUGGGUGGGUCAGCUUUUUCCUUCUGCACCCCAUUUCUUAUACAGCGUCUUCUGUCAGUGGGGGAGGAGCACGGUGCCCGCUGCCCUAUUGGCAGCAACCAGAAGGAUAUUCCUUUGCUAGAUGCAGGACCUUCUCCGUCUUGUUCAUCCCCAAACAGUGAUUGGCAGGCGGCUGCUGCCCAAGAAGAUUCUCCAAAUGGAUGGCUGCAAGGAACAGUUCCCUCCUCCUGACCAUCCGUGUUUUCAGCGACUGGACGCUGUGAGAAGAGGUGGAUCAGAAAUGGUUUCGAGAGACACAUUGUGGAAAGAGGUAGGAUGUCCAACGUUAGAAGCACCUGACCCGCCCAGACGGAGGGAGGUGGUGGCAGGGUCCAGCAUGCAGACCGCAGGAGGGGUGACAGGGCACAGCUGGAGGGACUGGCUCUCCAUCUUGUUCACUGGCAGAGUCUUGUUCUUUUCCCACAGAUUGUCUCUUGAGCAGCUCAACAAAACAAAGCCAAGCUGGAAAGACUUUAGAGAGAAGCUUCCUGCCCUCCCCUCACCCCAGCUCCCCCAGAUGGAUGGCUUCUUGUAGAGAAGGGCUGUGGCUUUAAUACUUCUUUUACACAAGGCCCAAAGAUCCUCAAGUUGCAUAACACCAAAAACAGAGAGGCCAAGCAGAGGCCUCUCAUCUCUAUUCCAUGAGGCGUGGACUCUACUGGGCUUUGGAGGCCCAAGCAAAGAAACCACUAGAUGACUGGAGUAGUAUCCAAACCCAGCUCUCCGUGUCCCUAAGUCAACUCCCGAAGAGAACUUCCGGAGGCCUG